GAGAUCUAAAGUAAAGCUUCCAAAAGAUACUGAAGUACUACAAUAUUCCAGAGAAUUUUCAGAACUAAGGUGGGCAAUUGUUAAUUGGAGUUUUUUUUCUAGGAUUGGAAAUGUCAUUCACAGAUGAGUACAGAGAGAGGCAAAACUAAAGGAGACGUAAAGUAAAUUCUUGACUCUCAGAUCUGGCAACAAGGGAGUUUGCCAUUUCCGAAUUACCCACUGGAAUCCAAACCAAGAGAAUUACAGAUGAAAAAUCCUCCUCGUCUUGUUCACCAACCCAAAUUUGAUGUUGACUUUACACUUCCUAAGGAAAAGUAGCCAAUAACUCAGGAUGACCAAGGGACUUCUGGAGAAAUGCUGAAGAUUCCAGUUUCUCAUCAGUCUUGUUGGGUUUCCACUGCAGAAAACCCUAUUAUCCAGCUCCUAUUUCAACCUGGGAAUCCACUCUGUGGAUCCACUCUGCCAAGGAUCCACUUUUGGCCUUUUCUUCUCUUGGUUCAUCCAUCAUGCCAGGUUUGUGGAAAGCCUCACCCAGUCUGCUUUCCCAGCCUGGUGCUCACCACAUCACAAAGAAACCAUCUAGUGUCUAGAAGAAAUCUUGCCUCACUGGAAGCUCUGCUUGACAUGAAUCUUGUACAAACUGUAAAAUCUCCUAACACAGUGCUUUCACCCGCAGUGGGUCCACAUCUGUGACAAGGCAUCAAGUGGACAUAUGUGACUCUAAGCUCCACCAUGGCCCAUAGGGCUCACCCUCCACAUGAGUUAUCAGUGGAACAUUUCUGAAAAUAUCAACCCCCUAUCUUCCUUGCUUUGCUUCAUUUGGGGAAAGUCUGCAUUAAAUACAAAGGAAAUUAUGGUCUAGUGGUGAUGUUUCACUCCUGGUAUUUUUAUAUUUCUUCAGUUAUCUCUAAGGAGAUUUAAGAUACAAGUAGUGUAUUGUACAAAUGAUCACAGUCAUCAUUACAUGAAAGUCUUAAUAUAAAUAUUUCUAAACCAACUAAUGAGCUAGAAAUUCCAAAUCUUUCCAAGUGGGUCUGCCUUGAAAACAGGAAAGCAGUGAGAGAAAGUUCAGGAGAACAUUUGGAAGUUUCCCUUUUGGGAAGUCUCAAAUAUCACAUCUGUCAUUUUGGUGAGCCAUUUUAUUCAGCCUGCUUUUAGCUCAAUUUUCAGGUGAGUCACCUCAAAACUUCAAGUUGUAAAUAGCCCAGUUGCAUCGUGGAGCAAUGAAACUUUGCAGAAUCUUGUGAAAUAUGGUGAUUUGUUAGCAGACUCACCCAAACAAUUCUUCUCAGGAUUAUUUUAAGCUUUUGCUUUUCCUUUCUCCUUGAUAACUUUAACUCAGGUGAGUACAUGGAGCCUUAUAGGAUUUAUAAGACUACUCUAGAAAAAAAGAAUAAUACAAAUAUUAGCAGUAGUGGUACGUAAGAAUCCAUUUAUAGAAAUACAUUUGUACUGUGUUCAUAUUAUCCUGUAAAACAUCAAAAUGGAAUUAAGUCUUUCUUAAAGUGUGAAAUCUUAACAUGUAUGUGUUCUGAGGUUCCCUGUAAUUCCCUAAACAAGUUGAACAAUUAUACAGCAACUAGAAAGGAAGAUAUACACAUUUCAAAUGCUUCUUAGGUUGUGAAAGAUUUCCUGGUGUUUUCCUCUUCCAGUUAAGUGAGGACUUAUAUCACCGGUCAAUGAGGAGCAGAGCAUAUGGAACACAAAGGAAGGACCAUCACAUUGCCCUUCUACCUGCCCCUGGUCUUCAACAGAUGAAGGGAGCCACAGCAUUGAUGAGAAGUCCCUCUGCACCUACUCUACACCAACUGUCCCCAAACCAGGACUUGGGUGCAGUUGAGAAGGGGGCUGUACUUCCAAGGGAUUAGGUUCAAAUGGUUCAAGGUCUCUACUCACCAGCUCUGUCCAUCAAAUAAUCAAAAUGAAUGAUUUAGGGAAGUACUACUUCCCCAGAGUAGCCAAAAAUCUAGUUGACAAUACCACCUCCUAUCAGUUCUCUGUAAUAAUGGUAUGUAACAACCCAUCCAAACCCAGUGGCUUAAAAGAAUAAGCAUUUGUUUUUCUUGGGAGUGUGUGUGUUGGUCAUUCGGGCUGAGCAGUUCUGGCCUCAGCUGGGUUUGCUGUCAAGCCUGGGGGCAGCUGAUUGGUGGUGGAUCUCGGAUGGCCCCAGCUGGGAUGUCUGGAACAACUCAGCUCUGCUCCACAUGUCUUACCUUACAUCUUACAGCAGGCCAUCCAGGCGUCUUCACACAGCAGUCACUGAGGAGCAAGAGAAUGAGCAAAACUAUACAAGCACUUAUUCAGACUUCCACUUGAGGAGGUCACAUUCGCUAACAUGCCACUUUCCAAGGCAAGUCACAGGCUGAGCCCAGAGUCAAGGGAUGGGUUAGAACAACCAACCCAGAGGGAACUGCAGAGGUACAAGACAAAGGGAAUGGGUACAGGGAGGGGUGUAGGAUGGGGACCAUCAAUGCAGCCAGUCUACUGCAUACCGUGAAUGCCAGUUUGUCUGCACUGCUUGAGCCAAGGAAAUCCCUUAGGCUAGUUAUUUUAUGAAGUGCCUAAUCCCUGAUCUAGGGCUCCCAAAUCUAGCAUGACUCACUCAAAUGAGAGUAUGUUAUCAAUUAACCCUGAAACACUUGAAAUAGGAGUCACUGAAUAAUUAUGAUUAUAAGUAGAUGAAAUUGAAGUACUAAUAGGUAAACAAAAUUUGCUAAUGUCCAGUAAUACAUGAGACUGGUAAAUCCAUCUUUGCUCUAAUCUGAUGCAAUGCAUUUUUCUCUAACAAAACAGCAAGUCCUGGAGAUUACAGUAAAAUCAUGAUUUUGCCUUAAAGCAAACACAUACAAGUAAGAUGUAAACAACAAAAGGAGGUUCCCUGAAAUGAUAAUAUAAAAUCAGCCCUUCGAAGCCAGUGCAAAAGUCUCAGUAUUCUAAAUAACGAUAUGCAAAAACAAAUGGGAAAUCAAAAAUGCACGUUCUAAAAACAGUGAUUAGAAUGUAUUACUCAUUCAUUUAAGACACGUGAAUUAAGAAUUCUCAUUGUUAGAUCUGUACGGAGUGCUUUUGAAGCAAUUCUGUCCCUACUUCAGGAUGCUUGGUGUUUGAAGCAGAUCAUUUAGCUAUAGGAGCUUAGUUGUUGCCUGGGUUUGUUUGAGGUCAGACUUUGACUCUGCAAAGCUGACUAUGCCUCAAAUAUCUCAGGUUAAAUGAAUUUCUUGAGUUACAAUUUAUAGUGAUUUCUUACUUCCAUCUGCUGAGAUAUGAACACUGGGUUGCUCAAAAUGGUGUCUGGUUCCUUAGUAGAGAAUGAUGGAAUAAACCAAAUUCUUAGUGAUGUUCUUGUCACAAAUUCAGUAAUAACUUUUCUUAAUCACUGGCACAAUUGUUAAUCUCAACCACCUGAUCUGAAUGUUCAGAUGAAAUCUGGCUGGUAGUGCCACAACUCAUACAGAUAGUUAAGACAAAAUUGAUUGGGUUUUACAUAUCUCCCAACAUUUCCUGACUCUUCAAAAUGGUAAAAAGUCAUGGUAAUAAUUGUUACUUCCAACCAAAAAGACUUGGAAGAACACAGUUCUUCUAUCAGUGCAGCAGAAUUACAUCCCAUUCCUGGCCCAAUUGUCUUCUGGCUGGUUAUCUGUGAAGUUUCACUUCUCCUUCUUGACGCACUUUGUUUUUAUCUCCAAGCAGGGAUAGAAGUCUUCCUUUAAGAAAUGGCUGCACUACCAAUUUUAACUCUCACUUACUUUUUUCUUUUUUGAGA